ACUGGCGGACGGGUGAGUAAUACAUCGGAACGUACCCAGAAGUGGGGGAUAACGUAGCGAAAGUUACGCUAAUACCGCAUACGUUCUACGGAAGAAAGUGGGGGACCGCAAGGCCUCAUGCUUUUGGAGCGGCCGAUGUCUGAUUAGCUAGUUGGUGAGGUAAAGGCUCACCAAGGCGACGAUCAGUAGCUGGUCUGAGAGGACGACCAGCCACACUGGGACUGAGACACGGCCCAGACUCCUACGGGAGGCAGCAGUGGGGAAUAUUGCGCAAUGGGCGCAAGCCUGACGCAGCGACGCCGCGUGGGGGAUGAAGGCCUUCGGGUUGUAAACCUCUUUCAGCAGGGACGAAGCGCAAGUGACGGUACCUGCAGAAGAAGCACCGGCCAACUACGUGCCAGCAGCCGCGGUAAUACG
rnacentral:rRNA from 1 species